rnacentral:rRNA from 1 species
AUACGAAUGGAGCAAGCGUUGUUCGGAAUCACUGGGCUUAAAGCGUGCGCAGGCGGAAAAGAAAGUCAGAUGUGAAAUCCCAGGGCUCAACCCUGGAACUGCAUUUGAAACUCCUUUUCUAGAAUCCGGGAGGGGUCAGUAGAAUUACUAGUGUAGAGGUGAAAUUCGCAGAUAUUAGUAGGAAUACCAGUGGCGUAGGCGACUGACUGGACCGGUAUUGACGCUCAUGUACGAAAGCGUGGGGAGCAAACAGGAUUAGAAACCCCAGUAGUCC